UGCAGCUGGCAACAGUAAGCUGAGCGACUGUAAACAAUUCGGCCCAAUGCAAGUCGGCGAUCCAUCGCCGGCGACACUUUCGAACUGGCGGGGAACCCCUAACGCCCUUUCCACCAAACCAGUCCGGGAAACCGGCUGGCGGCCUGCGGGAGACCGCGGGGUAUGGUAACAGAGGAAGGGAUGACCUGAGGGCAGCGAUGCCCCCGGCGAAAUGGGCGACCCGCAGCGAAGCCCCUGCCGUUCCCACCCCCGGGGACGUGGGGAACGUCCACAGACUAAGCGGAAGUGGGUAGAGCCGCGCGCUCUGCUUAAGAUAUAGUCGAGCCCCUCGGGAAACCCUGGGGAACGUUACUCUGUUCCGUAGGUGAACCUGCGGAAGGAUCAUUAAAUGGUCCGUGCCUCCGGCAGUCCUUCGAUGGACAGCCCCUGAAAGGCCCGGCAAGCCUGGAAGUGGUGUCGGUGCUCAGCAUCGGUCGGUCUAUGUUCUGUGUCAGUAGGCACGCGAUCGUGCCCAACCUCAGCCGUGGUUCGUCUCCACCCAAACGUACUCCCGCCCGGAGCUUGGACGUCCCCGCGGCGCGGCGCUCAAUGGCCGCCAGAGCGUAUUCGGAUAUCCUUGACUAUGAGAACCCUUUGUUGAUUCCUUCGGUGGAUCUGUCCGCCGACUGGAACUUUUGGAAACCCUUUUUGCAAUAGCAUCGAAAUUUUCUGAUAUCAUAUUAAAUCGUUACAACUUUCAACAAUGGAUCUCUUGGUUCUGGCAUCGAUGAAGAACGCAGCGAAAUGCGAUAAGUAGUGUGAAUUGCAGAAUUCAGUGAAUCAUCGAAUCUUUGAACGCACAUUGCGCCCCUUGGUAUUCCAUGGGGCAUGCCUGUUCGAGCGUCAUUUACCCCCUCAAGCACUGCUUGGUGUUGGGCGUCUGUCCGCGAGGACUCGCCCCAAAAGCAUUGGCAGCGGUCCUGUCAGCCCCCUCGCGCAGCAGUUUGCGCUCGACGGGUGGUUCGGAGGGCCGCGUCCACGAAGCUCCAUCACCUUUUUGACCUCGGAUCAGGUAGGGAUACCCGCUGAACUUAAGCAUAUCAAUAAGCGGAGGAAAAGAAACCAACUGGGAUUGCCCUAGUAACGGCGAGUGAAGCGGCAACAGCUCAAAUUUGAAAUCUGGCCUCUCUCGGGGUCCGAGUUGUAAUUUGCAGAGGGUGCUUUGGCGUCGGUAGCGGUCUAAGUUCCUUGGAACAGGACGUCGCAGAGGGUGAGAAUCCCGUAUGUGAUCGCCUACCUUCGCCGUGUAAAGCCCCUUCGACGAGUCGAGUUGUUUGGGAAUGCAGCUCUAAAUGGGAGGUAAAUUUCUUCUAAAGCUAAAUACCGGCCAGAGACCGAUAGCGCACAAGUAGAGUGAUCGAAAGAUGAAAAGCACUUUGGAAAGAGAGUCAAAUAGCACGUGAAAUUGUUGAAAGGGAAGCGCUUGCAGCCAGACUUGCCCGCAGUUGCUCACCCAGGCUUCUUGUGCCUGGGGCACUCUUCUGCGGGCAGGCCAGCAUCAGUUCGGGCGACCGGAUAAAGGCCUCUGUCAUGUAUCUUCCUCCGGGAUGACCUUAUAGGGGAGGUGUAAUGCGGCCAGCCCGGACUGA
rnacentral:misc_RNA from 1 species